CCCUGGAUAGCUCUGCUGGUGAGAGCGGGGUGCUGAGAACACCAAGGCUGCAGGUUCGAUCCCUGUAAGGGA